rnacentral:rRNA from 1 species
CAGCAGCCGCGGUAAUACCUGCAGCUCGAGUGGUGGCCUCUAUUAUUGGGCCUAAAACGUCCGUAGCCGGUUUAUCAACUGCCUGGGUAAAUCGGGCCGCUUAACGGUUCGAAUUCCGGGUAGACUGAUAAACUUGAGACCGGGGGAAGUUGGAGGUACUCCUGGGGUAGGGGUGAAAUCCUGUAAUCCUAGGGGGACCACCGGUGGCGAAGGCGUCCAACUAGAACGGGUCUGACGGUGAGGGACGAAGCCCUGGGGAGCAAACGGGAUUAGAUACCCCGGUAGUCCAGGGUGUAAACGCUGCCUGCUUGAUGUUAGUCUGGCUCCGGGCCAGGCUAGUGUCGGAGAGAAGUUGUUAAGAAGGCUGCCUGGGGAGUACGGUCGCAAGACUGAAACUUGAAGGAAUUGGCGGG